GUCUAGGAUAGCUCAGUUGGUAGCACAUGGAGACUCUUAAUCUCAGGGCUGUGGGUUCGAGCCCCACGUUGGGCA